rnacentral:lncRNA from 1 species
UAAGUUGUUUGAUUUAUCGCUGUGUUUAAACGACCCUUUACAAAUACUUUUGCCUUCUUUGGAUCUAAACCUGUAGCAAGUAUUUUUAGUGUAUUGACCAUUUUCUACCUGCCAUUCCAGUUUUAAGUGGGUAUUACAUUAUCCUAAAUUCAGGACCGAUAUUCAGGAUACGAUUUAGGACACUAAAUUCAGUCAACGAAGCUAGCGAUUACACCAUCCUAAAUUUAGGAUCGUAAAUUAUAAAAGACAGCACAAAGACAGGGUUUGAAAACCAAGUGUUAAAACCACAGGGGUUCGGUUUAAGUAGGUAAAACUUUUAAAAGCAGGUAAAAAAA